AAAAAGUACAACUCAGGAUCAUGCUGGAGUGGAGCUAAUGGAUCAGACAGACAUUAAGUGUAAACAUGAUACGUUGCACAGAAAGUUCCUACUCCAGAGCAAAGGAGACCAGUCCAUAGUUCUUGACCCACACUGAAAAGCAGACUCUUUCUUCAGACGCCACAUACAAAUCUGCCAUGCUCGUCCUCAGGUGGCCUGAGGUAUCACCGUGCACGGAGGACUGGAGCUGCCUUUCGGGAGACAGAACAGAGAAAUUCGCCACCCUGGAUCUGACCCAUCAGUAGCUGCCAUUACGACGCCUUAUAAAGGCCUGCAAAACACCGCAUGCCCACAGCCUGUGUGAGGGGAGGGGAGGGCCUGUGUGCAGACAAGCUUCCAAGGAGAAGCUUGGCCAUCACGCCAGACAGAGAUGAUUGCUCUAAUAAGGGCAGGGGUGACAAGCAGAGCCCUGCCUUGGCCCCAAGCCUAGGGUUAAUGAGACUUCCCCAGAAGAAAGUGUCUCUUGGGGGAGUGGGGGUGGGGCUGCAGGGGAGACAGAUCCGCUGGAAGCUGGCAAUGGCCCGGGCUGUUGAUCAGGAGACAGAGAAAGAAUUCUGCUCCCUGCACCGAGGUCAGACUCCAGGUAUCCAGGGGAAGGGCCCAGGAAUUUAUGAAGUGAGGCGGCAGCUCAUUUGACAGGCUGUCGGCUGGCCCCUGCCCCAAUGCGGCUGCCCCAGCCUCCUUCCUCUCUAGUUGAAGCAUUCACCUUGGUGGGGCAAGGUUUUCAAGGGGCUUCUGGGAAAUGAUGCACACAGAGCCGCAGCACGGGUCACAGCACUGGCUAGAAAAGGAGGGGCCAGUGACAGCUUUGUCCUACAGUUCAAAUCAUCUGCCACCCACUCUGGGUUGGUCAUAUGCAGAUGUUACCCAGGACUGAACACCCCCUGGGAUGGGCGAAUGGCCUCCAAAGACAGGAAGUUAGGUCCCAAUUUUGUGACCGGGAGGGAGGUCAUGAAUGAGGAGGUGUAUUUCCCACAUACCACUCCUGCCCCUCACACACCUUUUUUUUGGACAUUUGAAAGGAAGAUUUAUGUGUUUGAGUGUAUUUGAGUGUGAAUGCUUAUAUGAGUGUGUAUGGGUGUAUUUGAGUGUGGUGUGUGUCUGAACUAGUAUGUGUGAGUGUACAUGAGAGUGUACAAGUGUGGUGGGUGAGCACGUGAGUAUGUAAGUGAGGGAUGGGUGGCUGAGUGUGCAUGAGUGUGUUUAGGCUAGGCUACAGGCUGGUGGCAUGAUGGGCAAUAUGUGCUUUGCCCUCACACCCACCCGAUCAUCCUGUCCCCAUCCCCAACUUGCACCCCAUACUACAGGAACAGGACACUUUAGGAAGAAGGAACCAACCUAGAUGACUGGGUGUGCCUCCUACCUGGAGCCUCUUCGCCCUUCCCCUCCCCCCCAGCUCGUCAGCAGGAAAGAUGCUGACACCCUCCUCCCAUCACAAGCCCCGCCCAAGCUCCCAGUAGCUCUUUGGCCCUUGCCUGACCUCGAGGUGCAGAGCUAAGCCCAGGACUCCCACAGGGCAAAUGAAGCUGCUGCCAGGGCCUAUCCAUCAGGCCCAGCACAGCCUCCCUGCUCAGCGGCCCCCACCACACAGAGUCCA